GGGCGCAAGCCUGAUGCAGCGACGCCGCGUGAGGGAUGGAGGCCUUCGGGUUGUAAACCUCUUUUAUCGGGGAGCAAGCGUGAGUGAGUUUACCCGUUGAAUAAGCACCGGCUAACUACGUGCCAGCAGCCGCGGUAAUACGUAGGGUGCAAGCGUUAUCCGGAAUUAUUGGGCGUAAAGGGCUCGUAGGCGGUUCGUCGCGUCCGGUGUGAAAGUCCAUCGCUUAACGGUGGAUCCGCGCCGAGUACGGGCGGGCUUGAGUGCGGUAGGGGAGACUGGAAUUCCCGGUGUAACGGUGGAAUGUGUAGAUAUCGGGAAGAACACC
rnacentral:rRNA from 1 species